UCUCUCUGAAUCUGCGAACGGCUCCGCAAACCAGUUGUAAACUAUAGCAAGCAAUCCCACGGUUGGUUCGGCCUGGCUGUGGGUAAAAUGGAUAACCAUGGUAAUUCUGAGGCUAAUACAAGAACGUACUCCCUGGCUUACCGGCAACGGAAGGCUGGGGAGCGUGCAACGUAUCGUAAGACAAACCGGGAAUGGGUGCACGCUUGGACCGCGCUAAAAACAGAUCUUGGUGAACCUUCGGGUAAGCUUUGGCCUGAGCGGCUCUUGCUGUGUGCUUCUGACCUAUCAACUAGAUGGCAGCGUAACGGACAUGCUAUGGUUACAACGGGUACAGAGGAUUAGGGUUCGAUCCUGGAGAGUGGGCCUGAGAGAUU
rnacentral:rRNA from 1 species